rnacentral:rRNA from 1 species
UUGACCUCAAAUCAGGUAGGAUUACCCGCUGAACUUAAGCAUAUCAAUAAGCGGAGGAAAAGAAACUAACAAGGAUUCCCCUAGUAACUGCGAGUGAAGCGGGAAAAGCUCAAAUUUGAAAUCUGGCGGUCUCCGGCCGUCCGAGUUGUAAACUAGAGAAGUGCUAUCCGUGCUGGACCAUGUAUAAGUCUCCUGGAACGGAGCGUCACAGAGGGUGAGAAUCCCGUCUUUGACAUGGACUGCCAGUGCAUUGUGAUGCGCUCUCAAAGAGUCGAGUUGUUUGGGAAUGCAGCUCAAAAUGGGUGGUAAAUUCCAUCUAAAGCUAAAUAUUGGCGAGAGACCGAUAGCGAACAAGUACCGUGAGGGAAAGAUGAAAAGAACUUUGGAAAGAGAGUUAAACAGUACGUGAAAUUGUUGAAAGGGAAACGCUUGAAGUCAGUCGCAUUGGCUGGGAUCAACCUUGCAUUGUGAGGUGUACUCCCUGGUCAAUGGGUCAGCAUCAGUUUUGGCCGCCGGAAAAAGGUUGGGGGAAUGUGGCAUCUCUGGAUGUGUUAUAGCCCCUGAUUGUAUACGG